AUGCGGUGCCCACUGAUAUGCAACUGGGCGGUUGAGUUUCAUUUGCCACAUCGCGUGUUUCGUCAGUUUGGUCUGUUCCAGGCUCACCCGCCGGAAUGGGUGGAUACGGACAAAGCACUUCAUAGGUUGGACAGGAAAAGGCAACGGAAGAUAAAGGACCGGGACAAGCAUCAUGCUUCGUAUGUUACCCGCUUCCAUCUUUGUGUGGAGCAAGCUCGUAGCAGUGCACGCGCCCAGCUUCGUGAGCAUAACUCACUUGCUUUUGAUAACUACAUACGAUGGCUUCUUGAAAAUACUCGAGUUGAGAUAUGCCCGCAGGCAUAUAAUGAGGAUAUUCUUGAAGAACCCGUAAACUUUGAGGAGCUAUCAAAGGGGAAGUACAACAGAGAUGUCAGGGCAGGGCAAGGAGUCCCUGCUGUUCCGGUGAUUAACUAUGUGGUAAAGUGUGAAGGAAAUAUA
rnacentral:rRNA from 1 species